GAGCUCAGAAGUGUUUAUAACCUACUGUGCAGUUACUAAACAGCUUAUAUGAGGCUCUGAAGUAACACAAUGCAGAAGAUGUUGUAUUCAUUAGUAAUCCUAAACGUGUUACUAACAACGUUGAAUUUAGUUUUUUGUGAUGGAAAUAAGGAAGAAAUCUGCACAGAAACAGCACCCAUUUCUGAAAGUUCAAGCAUAAAGAAACCAACUGAACAUAGUAAAGUAUCAAAUAAAAAGUUUCUUCCCCGUUCCUCCCGCGGGAAAAGGGUUGGAUCAGAAUUACUUGAUGUAGGAGGAUAUAUUAAAGUGCAUAUAUGAAGAGUGGUAAUGGAGGAGGCGGCAGAUGUUACUAGUAUCCACCACGUGAUGUCUAUGGAGCAUCGCCACCUGAAAUAUACUACGUCAAGUCUUCUGUUUGUAAUAACUGCUAAUAAUUGGAAUUAAACUAAACUACCCAUCCAG